rnacentral:rRNA from 1 species
AUUGAACGCUGGCGGCAGGCCUAACACAUGCAAGUCGAGCGGAGCGGCGGACGGGUGAGUAAUGCCUAGGAAUCUGCCUGGUAGUGGGUGAUAACGUCCGGAAACGGGCGCUAAUACCGCAUACUAUCAGAUGAGCCUAGGUCGGAUUAGCUAGUUGGUGUGGUAAAGGACUACUAAGCCGACGAUCCGUAACUGGUCUGAAAGGAUGAUCAGUAACACUGGAACUGAGACACGGUCCAGACGCCGAGGCGAGGCAGCAGUGGGGAAUAUUGGACAAUGGGCGAAAGCCUGAUCCAGCCAUGCCGCGUGUAUGAAGAAGGACUUCGGAUUGUAAAGCACUUUAAGUUGGGAGGCGUUACCAUCAGAAUAAGCACCGGCUAACUACGUGCCAGCAGCCGCGGUAAUUC